rnacentral:rRNA from 1 species
UACGUAGGGGGCAAGCGCUGUCCGGAAUCAUUGGGCGUAAAGAGCGUGUAGGCGGCCCGGUAAGUCCGCUGUGAAAGUCCAGGGCUCAACCCUGGAAUGCCGGUGGAAACUGUCGGGCUAGAGUCCGGAAGAGGCGAGUGGAAUUCCUGGUGUAGCGGUGAAAUGCGCAGAUAUCAGGAGGAACACCAAUGGCGAAGGCAGCUCGCUGGGACGGUACUGACGCUGAGACGCGAAAGCGUGGGGAGCAAACAGG